rnacentral:rRNA from 1 species
CAACAGGGAUUGCCCUAGUAACGGCGAGUGAAGCGGCAACAGCUCAAAUUUGAAAUCUGGCUUCGGCCCGAGUUGUAAUUUGCAGAGGAUGUUUCUGGCGCGGUGCCUUCCGAGUUCCCUGGAACGGGACGCCACAGAGGGUGAGAGCCCCGUAUGGUCGGACACCAAGCCUGUGUGAAACUCCUUCGACGAGUCGAGUAGUUUGGGAAUGCUGCUCUAAAUGGGAGGUAAAUCUCUUCUAAAGCUAAAUACCGGCCAGAGACCGAUAGCGCACAAGUAGAGUGAUCGAAAGAUGAAAAGCACCUUGAAAAGGGGGUUAAAUAGUACGUGAAAUUGUUGAAAGGGAAGCAUUUAUGACCAGACUUGGGCCGGGCGGCUCAUCAGGGGUUCUCCCCUGUGCAUUCCGCCCGGCACAGGCCAGCAUCGGUUUUCGCGGGGGGAUAAGACCGUCAGGAACGUAGCACCCUCCGGGGUGUGUUAUAGCCUGGCGGACGAUACUCCCGCGGGGACCGAGGUUCGCGCUCCGCAAGGAUGCUGGCGUAAUGGUCAUCAGUGACCCGUCUUGAAACACGGACCAAGGAGUCGUCCAUUAGAGCGAGCGUUUGGGUGUAAAACCCGCACGCGUAAUGAAAGUGAACGCAGGUGAGAGCUUCGGCGCAUCAUCGACCGAUCCUGAUGUUCUCGGAAGGAUUUGAGUAAGAGUUUUAACGGACGGACCCGAAAGACAGUGAACUAUGCUUGUAUAGGGUGAAGCCAGAGGAAACUCUGGUGGAGGCUCGCAGCGGUUCUGACGUGCAAAUCGAUCGUCAAAUAUGAGCAUGGGGGCGAAAGACUAAUCGA